rnacentral:rRNA from 1 species
UACGAAGGGGGCUAGCGUUGCUCGGAAUCACUGGCGUAAAGGGAGCGUAGGCGGCGUGGUAAGUCAGAUGUGAAAUCCCGGGGCUCAACCCCGGAACUGCAUCCGAUACUGCCAUGCUAGAGGAUUGGAGAGGUAGCUGGAAUUCUUGGUGUAGCAGUGAAAUGCGUAGAGAUCAGGAGGAACACCCGGGGCGAAGGCGGCCCUCUGGCUCGACCCUGACGCUGAGGCGCGAAAGCGUGGGGAGCGAACGGG